AUUGAAACACUGGUUCUCGUACGAUCAUCGAAGUUAAGCAACGUCGAGCCUGGUCAGUACCUAGAUGGGUGACCGCUUGGGAAUACCAGCUGUCGUAAG